rnacentral:rRNA from 1 species
GUCUUCUCGUUUAUUUGGGAAGUCUGACCUGCCCAGUGAAAUAGUUAUUUAACGGCCGCGGUAUUUUGACCGUGCAAAGGUAGCAUAAUCAUUAGUCUUUUAAUAGGAGACUGGAAUGAAAGGUUUGACGAAAUAUUAGCUGUCUCAUUUUAAUAUUUUAAAAUUUAAUUUUUAAGUUAAAAAGCUUAAAUCUUAUUGGAAGACGAGAAGACCCUAUAGAGCUUUAUAGUUGAUUUUUUAGUUAAGAUUUGUUUAAAUAAGUAAGUCUAUUAUUUCAACUUUUUUAUUGGGGUGAUGGUAAAUAUAAAUUUAACUUUUAUAGCGUGAAGGUGUUCAUUUAUUUAUGGUUAUUAGAUCCUUUAUUAUUGAUCAUUAGAACAAGUUACCUUAGGGAUAACAGCGUAAUCUUCUUUCAGAGUUCAAAUUUACAAGAAGGCUUGCGACCUCGAUGUUGGAUUAAGAUUAUAUUUAGGUGUAGCAGCCUAAUUUAUAGGUCUGUUCGACCUUUAAAUUCUU